GACACAUCAACUAGACAUAUACUAAAAUUGGAACAACACAGAGAACACUAGCAUGGCCUUGCAAAGAAUGACCUAAAAAUUCAUGAAGCACUCCAUAUUUUU
ensembl:snRNA U6 U6 spliceosomal RNA